rnacentral:rRNA from 1 species
GACGAACGCUGGCGGCGUGCUUAACACAUGCAAGUCGAACGGAAAGGCCCUGCUUUUGUGGGGUGCUCGAGUGGCGAACGGGUGAGUAACACGUGAGUAACCUGCCCUUGACUUUGGGAUAACUUCAUGAAACUGGGGCUAAUACCGGAUAGGAGCUCCUGCUGCAUGGUGGGGGUUGGAAAGUUUCGGCGGUUGGGGAUAGACUCGCGGCUUGUCAGCUUGUUGGUGGGGUAGUGGCUUACCAAGGCUUUGACGGGUAGCUGGCCUGAGAGGGUGACCGGCCACAUUGGGACGGAGAUACGGCCCAGACUCCUACGGGAGGCAGCAGUGGAGAAUAUUGCACAAUGGGCGGAAGCCUGAUGCAGCAACGCCGCGUGCGGGAUGACGGCCUUCGGGUUGUAAACCGCUUUCGCCUGUGACGAAGCGUGAGUGACGGUAAUGGGUAAAGAAGCACCGGCUAACUACGUG